GUGUGUGUGUGUGUGUGUGUGUUGUGUGUGUGUGUGUGUGUGUGUGUGUGUGUGUGUACAGUAUGUGGAUGAAAUGAUGAUGGACAUUUUAAACGAGAUAUUACUGAUGAAUGAUUUGAAGGGGAAAUACUUGAAGAGAGUGACGGCCUGCGAAUGAGAGGCCAGCUCACAGACGUUCAGUAGCAAAGGGUCGGCCAGGGUUAGGGGACCCCCCCCCACCCCCCAGCGGCCCUCAGAUGUAGUAGCCGAGGGCCAGGCCUGAGGAGCUUCUCUGUGUGAAUAUUAGCACUGCCAGAGUAGGAGUGUGUGCGCGUGUGUAUGUGUUAUUGAAUUUGGGAGUAAGGCUUAGGUGUGUGUGUGUGCAGCGAGGGGCUGGAGUGGCUUUGUUGUGAAAACUGAUUGGUCAGGUCUGUCUGAGUGUGAUUGGUCAGGUCUGUCUGAGCGUGCUCUGAGUGUGAUUGGUCAGGUCUGUCUGAGCGUGCUCUGAGUGAGAUUGGUCAGGUCUGUCUGCACUGGACCAACCUUCAUGAAAGGAAAGGAGAU